AUUGAACGCUGGCGGCAUGCCUUACACAUGCGAGUCGAACGGCAGCACGGGAGCAAUCCUGGUGGCGAGUGGCGAACGGGUGAGUAAAGUAUCGGAACGUGCCCAGUCGUGGGGGAUAACGUAGCGAAAGUUACGCUAAUACCGCAUACGAUCUAUGGAUGAAAGCGGGGGAUCGCAAGACCUCGCGCGAUUGGAACGGCCGAUAUCAGAUUAGGUAGUUGGUGGGGUAAAGGCUCACCAAGCCGACGAUCUGUAGCUGGUCUGAGAGGACGACCAGCCACACUGGGACUGAGACACGGCCCAGACUCCUACGGGAGGCAGCAGUGGGGAAUUUUGGACAAUGGGCGAAAGCCUGAUCCAGCCAUGCCGCGUGCAGGAUGAAGGCCUUCGGGUUGUAAACUGCUUUUGUACGGAACGAAAAGGUUUGGCCUAAUAAGCUGAGCUCAUGACGGUACCGUAAGAAUAAGCACCGGCUAACUACGUGCCAGCCGCCGCGGUAA
rnacentral:rRNA from 1 species